UAUGCAUUUUCUCAUGAAAAUAAAAACACACAAGGGAAGACAAACGAACACAGAGACAGACAAAGGCGCCCACGUGGAGAAAAGAUGGAAAAAAAACUCUCCGCUCUCCGGCGCUGACCUGAAACUAUAAACCAAAAGGGUGUUUCCCUAUUUAAUAUAUGCAAAGAAGGCGUUCUGCUCUUCGACCAAUUAGAACUCCCUCAGGCCCCCAAAGAAAGUUGGGACUUCCUGAUUUAUAGCAAAGGUGUCUGUUUUUUAUCUAAGCAAAGAGCGGACUACCCCGUGGUCAUCUCUGCCUGAUACGGAAGAUCCCUGGCGCCAAGAAGUCUCUUCUGCUCUAUCGGAAUUGUAAAUUUUAUUGCUGUGUCUGUCAAAAGGGGGAGGAAAAAAGGGCCCUGCCUGCCUGUCUGCCAUUCCCAGUUCCCACAUGCUCAACAGAAAACCGUUCCAAAUAAAAGUGUUGGCUAUACCUUUACACGUGUCGUAUAUUAGCUGUAUUAAGCACCAACAAAUAAUCAUUUUCCUUUACAAUGGGCAACUGGAAGGAGUAUUGUUCUGU